rnacentral:rRNA from 1 species
GACGAACGCUGGCGGCGUGCUUAACACAUGCAAGUCGAGCGAUGAAGUUUUCUUCGGGAAACGGAUUAGCGGCGGACGGGUGAGUAACACGUGGGUAACCUGCCUCAUAGAGUGGAAUAGCCUUUCGAAAGGAAGAUUAAUACCGCAUAAUGUUGAAAGAUGGCAUCAUCAUUCAACCAAAGGAGCAAUCCGCUAUGAGAUGGACCCGCGGCGCAUUAGCUAGUUGGUGGGGUAACGGCCUACCAAGGCGACGAUGCGUAGCCGACCUGAGAGGGUGAUCGGCAACAUUGGGACGGAGACACGGCCCAGACUCAUACGGGAGGCAGCAGUGGGGAAUAUUGCAAAAUGGGGGAAACCCUGAUGCAGCAACGCCGCGUGAGUGGUGAAGGUUUUCGGAUCGUAAAGCUCUGUCUUUGGGGAAGAUAAUGACGGUACCCAAGGAGGAAGCCACGGCUAACUACGUGCCAGCAGCCGCCGUAAUAC